AUCCAGCUGACGAGUCUCAAAUAGGACGAAACGUGCGUCAAGCUGGAU
rnacentral:hammerhead_ribozyme from 1 species